rnacentral:misc_RNA from 1 species
GAUGAAGAACGUAGCGAAAUGCGAUACGUAAUGUGAAUUGCAGAAUUCAGUGAAUCAUCGAAUCUUUGAACGCAUAUUGCGCUCUUUGGUAUUCCGAAGAGCAUGCUUGUUUGAGUAUCAGUAAACACCUCAAAGCUUUUGGAUUUUUUUUUUGAAAGCUUUGGACUUGAGCAAUCCCAACACCAGUCUUUUUCAGAUCGGCGGCGGGUUGCUUGAAAUGCAGGUGCAGCUGGACUUUCUCCUGAGCUAAAAGCAUAUUCAUUUAGUCCCGUCAAACGGAUUAUUACUUUUGCUGCAGCUAACAUAAAGGGAGUUUGACCGCAUUGGCUGACUGAUGCAGGAUUUCACAAGGGUCGGCAACGAUUCUUGUUAAACUCGAUCUCAAAUCAAGUAAGACUACCCGCUGAACUUAAGCAUAUCAAUAAGCGGAGGA